UACAGAGGUCUCAAGCGUUGUUCGGAUUCAUUGGGCGUAAAGGGUGCGUAGGCGGCGCGGUAAGUCGGGUGUGAAAUCUCGGAGCUUAACUCGGAAACUGCCAUUGAUACUAUUGGUCUUAAAUUCGGUCGAGGUUGGCGGAAUGUGUCGUGUAGCGGUGAAAUGCUUAGAUAUGACACAGAACACCGAUUGCGAAGGCAGCUAGCUAGACCGACAUUGACGCUGAGGCACGAAAGCGUGGGUAGCAAACAGG
rnacentral:rRNA from 1 species